rnacentral:rRNA from 1 species
AGCGACACUGUGUGUUGUUGGGUAGGGGAGCGUUCUGUAAGCCUGUGAAGGUGUGUCGUGAGGCAUGCUGGAGGUAUCAGAAGUGCGAAUGCUGACAUAAGUAACGAUAAAGCGGGUGAAAAGCCCGCUCGCCGGAAGACCAAGGGUUCCUGUCCAACGUUAAUCGGGGCAGGGUGAGUCGACCCCUAAGGCGAGGCCGAAAGGCGUAGUCGAUGGGAAACGGGUUAAUAUUCCCGUACUUGGUGUUACUGCGAAGGGGGGACGGAGAAGGCUAUGUUGGCCGGGCGACGGUUGUCCCGGUUUAAGCGUGUAGGUGUGUGUUCCAGGUAAAUCCGGUUCACUUUAACACUGAGGCGUGACGACGAGGCACUACGGUGCUGAAGCAACAAAUGCCCUGCUUCCAGGAAAAGCCUCUAAGCAUCAGGUAACAUCAAAUCGUACCCCAAACCGACACAGGUGGUCAGGUAGAGAAUACCAAGGCGCUUGAGAGAACUCGGGUGAAGGAACUAGGCAAAAUGGUGCCGUAACUUCGGGAGAAGGCACGCUGACACGUAGGUGAAGUGAUUUACUCAUGGAGCUGAAGUCAGUCGAAGAUACCAGCUGGCUGCAACUGUUUAUUAAAAACACAGCACUGUGCAAACACGAAAGUGGACGUAUACGGUGUGACGCCUGCCCGGUGCCGGAAGGUUAAUUGAUGGGGUCAGCGCAAGCGAAGCUCCUGAUCGAAGCCCCGGUAAACGGCGGCCGUAACUAUAACGGUCCUAAGGUAGCGAAAUUCCUUGUCGGGUAAGUUCCGACCUGCACGAAUGGCGUAAUGAUGGCCAGGCUGUCUCCACCCGAGACUCAGUGAAAUUGAACUCGCUGUGAAGAUGCAGUGUACCCGCGGCAAGACGGAAAGACCCCGUGAACCUUUACUAUAGCUUGACACUGAACAUUGAGCCUUGAUGUGUAGGAUAGGUGGGAGGCUUUGAAGUGUGGACGCCAGUCUGCAUGGAGCCGACCUUGAAAUACCACCCUUUAAUGUUUGAUGUUCUAACGUGGACCCGUUACCCGGGUUGCGGACAGUGUCUGGUGGGUAGUUUGACUGGGGCGGUCUCCUCCUAAAGAGUAACGGAGGAGCACGAAGGUUGGCUAAUCCUGGUCGGACAUCAGGAGGUUAGUGCAAUGGCAUAAGCCAGCUUGACUGCGAGCGUGACGGCGCGAGCAGGUGCGAAAGCAGGUCAUAGUGAUCCGGUGGUUCUGAAUGGAAGGGCCAUCGCUCAACGGAUAAAAGGUACUCCGGGGAUAACAGGCUGAUACCGCCCAAGAGUUCAUAUCGACGGCGGUGUUUGGCACCUCGAUGUCGGCUCAUCACAUCCUGGGGCUGAAGUAGGUCCCAAGGGUAUGGCUGUUCGCCAUUUAAAGUGGUACGCGAGCUGGGUUUAGAACGUCGUGAGACAGUUCGGUCCCUAUCUGCCGUGGGCGCUGGAGAACUGAGGGGGGCUGCUCCUAGUACGAGAGGACCGGAGUGGACGCAUCACUGGUGUUCGGGUUGUCAUGCCAAUGGCACUGCCCGGUAGCUAAAUGCGGAAGAGAUAAGUGCUGAAAGCAUCUAAGCACGAAACUUGCCCCGA